rnacentral:misc_RNA from 1 species
GAUGAAGAACGUAGCGAAAUGCGAUAAGUAAUGUGAAUUGCAGAAUUCAGUGAAUCAUCGAAUCUUUGAACGCACAUUGCGCCCGCCAGUAUUCUGGCGGGCAUGCCUGUUCGAGCGUCAUUACAACCCUCAGGCCCCCGGGCCUGGCGUUGGGGAUCGGCGGAAGCCCCCUGUGGGCACACGCCGUCCCUCAAAUACAGUGGCGGUCCCGCCGCAGCUUCCAUUGCGUAGUAGCUAACACCUCGCGACUGGAGAGCGGCGCGGCCACGCCGUAAAACACCCAACUCUUCUGAAGUUGACCUCGAAUCAGGUAGGAAUACCCGCUGAACUUAAGCAUAUCAAUAAGCGGAGGA